GAUGAAGAACGUAGCGAAAUGCGAUACUUGGUGUGAAUUGCAGAAUCCCGUGAACCAUCGAGUCUUUGAACGCAAGUUGCGCCCGAAGCCACUAGGCCGAGGGCACGCCUGCCUGGGCGUCACACGCCGUUGCCCCCCCAUCUACUCCUUCGGGAUUGCGGGGGGGCGGAUGAUGGCCUCCUGUGCGCCUAGCCGCGCGGUUGGCAUAAAUACCAAGUCCUCGGCGACGCACGCCACGACAUUCGGUGGUUGCGAAACCUCGGUUGCCCGUCGUGUGCGUUCGUCGCGCAUCGAGGGCUCGAAAAAAUGCUCGGCUCCGGCUGGGCUUUCAACGCGACCCCAGGUCAGGCGGGGUUACCCGCUGAAUUUAAGCAUAUCAAUAAGCGGAGGA
rnacentral:misc_RNA from 1 species